AGAGUUGAUCCUGGCUCAGGAUGAACGCUAGCGGCAGGCUUAACACAUGCAAGUCGAGGGGCAGCGGGAUGUAGCAAUACAUUGCCGGCGACCGGCGGAUGGGUGCGUAACGCGUAUGCAACCUACCUUAUACAGGGGAAUAACCUUUCGAAAGGGAGACUAACACCCCAUAGUAUUGAUUUAAGGCAUCUUAGAUUAAUUAAAUAUUUAUAGGUAUAAGAUGGGCAUGCGUAUGAUUAGCUAGUUGGUAAGGUAACGGCUUACCAAGGCGACGAUCAUUAGGGGUUCUGAGAGGAAGGUCCCCCACACUGGUACUGAGACACGGACCAGACUCCUACGGGAGGCAGCAGUGAGGAAUAUUGGUCAAUGGGCGCAAGCCUGAACCAGCCAUGCCGCGUGCAGGAAGACGGCCUUAUGGGUUGUAAACUGCUUUUACAUAAGACUAACCGUAUAUUUGCGAAUAUACCUGAAUGUAUUAUGAGAAUAAGGAUCGGCUAACUCCGUGCCAGCCGCCGC
rnacentral:rRNA from 1 species